rnacentral:rRNA from 1 species
CGAGAAGACCCUAUGGAGCUUCAGACACAAGGCAGCCCACGUUAAUAACCCCUAAACAAAGGACCAAACUAAAUGAAACUCUGCCAGAAUGUCUUUGGUUGGGGCGACCUAGG